rnacentral:lncRNA from 1 species
UCAUGGGAAAAGAAAAAAAAAUCCUAGGGACAAAAGGAAAGAAGGAAGCUCUAGAUUGUGUACAAAAGAACCUUCCCCCUUAUAAUAAAAAAAAAAAAAAGAGAAAAGAAAAGAGAAUCAAUUAGAAGGUGGGAAGGGAAAUGAGAAAGAGUUAGAGCUAAGUGUUGUAAAAAGUGAAUAAAAGUCCCUAGUUGGUUGAG